UACGGAGGGAGCUAGCGUUGUUCGGAUAUACUGGGCGUAAAGCGCACGUAGGCGGCGCAGCAAGUCAGGGGUGAAAUCCCGGAGCUCAACUCCGGAACUGCCUUUGAAACUGCAGUGCUAGAAUCCUGGAGAGGCGAGUGGAAUUCCGAGUGUAGAGGUGAAAUUCGUAGAUAUUCGGAAGAACACCAGUGGCGAAGGCGACUCGCUGGACAGGGUAUUGACGCUGAGGUGCGAAAGCGUGGGGAGCAAACAGG
rnacentral:rRNA from 1 species